rnacentral:lncRNA from 1 species
ACAACCUAAAUGAUGAGAAAUAAAAUUAUAUUUUUUAUCCUAAAAAUCAACAUGGUAUCAGAGCUAAAGUAAAACUAUUUUAAGGUUUUGAAAAAAGUCUUAAAAUGGCAAAAUAGGUUGAGUAGAAAGACCCAGAUCAGAAGAGAGGGAGAUUAGAAGAAGAGAGGUCAGAGCAGAGGAAGAAAGAGAGUAGCCGGCCUCCAUUGCACGCAGAGCCGUGCGAAGACAGAGCCUCGGAAUCCGUCUUUUUCAGUCGUGCGUAGAGUCGUGUUCGUCUCAAGUUCUUCUUUAGUCGUGCGCAGGGACGUGUUAACCCUGGGUCUAUUCUUCUUCAAUUGCACACAGAGACGCGCAAAAAAAACCAAUCAACCCAACUUCUUUUUCCACUGUAUGCAGAGCCACACGAAGAGCUACGCGAUCUGGUUCUCCUUCCUCCGCGCGUAGAGCCGCGCAAAGUGCCGAACAACCAGCUUCUUCUUUGCCGCACGCAGAGCCGCUCAACAGGAAGCUUUUUUGGCCGUGAUCUCUACUUCACGUAGAUCUACCUGAGCUGAGAUGAGCCUUGAGCCGAGCCGAGUUCGAGCCAUUUUUGAGCCGAACCUGAGUUGUUUUGAGCCGAAGCCUAACCGUGCCGCCACCUAACAUAUCUUAUUUUAGUUUGCAACUUGAUCUGCAAAUUAGGCAUGAAAAAUAUCCCUGCACCAACUUGAGGGGGGAUGUUGAAUAGGAUAUUUCUUUUUUUAUUAUUUAAAUUACUUUAUUAUUUAAUUAGAUAAUUUAAUGUAAUUAGAAGUUUACUACAAUAGGAAUUUCCUUAUUAGUAGAAUAUGUAUUCUAUAAAUAUUCAAGUGUAACAACCUAAAAGGUGAGAAAUAAAAUUAUAUUUUUUCUCCUAAAAAUCAACAUAAAUGUAUUCAGUUCAG